GGACUACUGGGGUAUCUAAUCCCGUUUGCUCCCCUGGCUUUCGCGCCUCAGCGUCAGAAGAGGUCCAGCGCGCCGCUUUCGCCACCGGCGUUCCUUCCGAUAUCUACGCAUUUCACCGCUCCACCGGAAGUUCCGCACGCCCCUACCUCCCUCGAGGCCGCCAGUAUCAGAGGCACUUUUCCAGUUGAGCUGGAAGAUUUCACCCCCGACUUGGCGGCCCGCCUACGCGCCCUUUAAGCCCAGUGAAUCCGAACAACGUUAGCACGGUUCGUCUUACCGCGGCUGCUGGCAC
rnacentral:rRNA from 1 species